AUUGAACGCUGGCGGCAGGCCUAACACAUGCAAGUCGAACGAGUGGCGGACGGGUGAGUAAUGUCUGGGAAACUGCCUGAUGGAGGGGGAUAAAUACUGGAAACGGUAGCUAAUACCGCAUACCAUCAGAUGUGCCCAUAUGGGAUUAGCGUGUUGGUGGGGUAACGGCUCACCAAGGCGACGAUCCCUAGCUGGUCUGAGAGGAUGACCAGCAACACUGGAACGGAGCAACGGUCAAGAUUCCUACGGGAGGAAGCAGUGGGGAAUAGCGGACAAUGGGCGCAAGCCUGAUGCAGACAUGCCGGGUGUAUGAAGAGGGCCUUCGGGUGUAAAAGUACUUUCAGCGGGAAGGCGUUACCCGCAGAAUAAGCACCGGCUAACUCCGUGCCAGCAGCCGCGGUAAUAC
rnacentral:rRNA from 1 species